rnacentral:ncRNA from 1 species
UCAUCCUCAGAUUCUACAAUGAUUUUUAGCCCCGUCACGGUCGCCUAAAGGCGAGGGAUUCAUGACAGAGCAUGUUUAUCAUGCACGUGGUAAAGCCGUACCUGAGCACGUUUGAUGUUAUGU